rnacentral:rRNA from 1 species
GUGGACUCUCAAGCGUGAGGUAAGGGCAAUUGGUGGAUGCCUUGGCGCAUACAGGCGAUGAAGGACGUGGCACGCUGCGAUAAGCGUGGGGGAGC